rnacentral:rRNA from 1 species
GCUACAAUGGUUGGUACAAUGGGUAUCUACCCCGAAAGGGGACGGGAAUCUCCUAAAACCAAUCUUAGUUCGGAUUGAGGGCUGCAACUCGCCCUCAUGAAGCUGGAAUCCGUAGUAAUCGCGUUUCAACAGAACGCGGUGAAUACGUCCCUGCUCCUU